CUCUCGGCAACGGAUAUCUAGGCUCUCGCAUCGAUGAAGAACGUAGCGAAAUGCGAUACUUGGUGUGAAUUGCAGAAUCCCGCGAAUCAUCGAGUUUUUGAACGCAAGUUGCGCCCGAGGCCACUCGGCCGAGGGCACGUCUGCCUGGGCGUCACGCACCGUCGCC
rnacentral:rRNA from 1 species